UACGGAGGGGGCAAGCGUUAUUCGGAAUCAUUGGGCGUAAAGGGCGCGUAGGCGGCCCUGUAAGUCUUGGGUGAAAGCCCUCGGCUCAACCGAGGAAUUGCCUUGGAUACUGCAGGGCUCGAGGCUGGAAGAGGGCAGUGGAAUUCCCGGUGUAGCGGUGAAAUGCGUAGAUAUCGAUAGGAACUCCGGUGGCGAAGGCGGCAUACUGGACCACAUCUGACGCUGAGGCGCGAAAGCCAGGGGAGCGAACGGG
rnacentral:rRNA from 1 species